rnacentral:misc_RNA from 1 species
UCCGGUUUGGCACCGGCAGUCUCCGAAGAGUCCCCGGCAUAACCCGCUGGCAACAUAGAACGAGGGUUGCGCUCGUUGCGGGACUUAACCCAACAUCUCACGACACGAGCUGACGACAACCAUGCACCACCUGUAAACCGGCCGCAAGCGGGGCACCUGUUUCCAGGUCUUUCCGGUUCAUGUCAAGCCUUGGUAAGGUUCUUCGCGUUGCAUCGAAUUAAUCCGCAUGCUCCGCCGCUUGUGCGGGCCCCCGUCAAUUCCUUUGAGUUUCAACCUUGCGGUCGUACUCCCCAGGCGGGGUACUUCCUGCGUUAGCGCCGACACCCAGAGGGUCGCUCCCCCAGGCACCUAGUACCCAUCGUUUACGGCGUGGACUAC